rnacentral:rRNA from 1 species
UACGAGUGCCCCGAGCGUUAUCCGGAAUUACUGGGUGUAAAGGGUGCGUAGGCGGCGUUAUUAGUCUUCCGUGAAAGCCCCGGGCUCAACCCGGGAAACGCGAAAGAAACGGUAAUGCUAGAGAGUGUGAGGGGUUUGCGGAACUCAUGGUGUAGGGGUGAAAUCCGUUGAUAUCAUGGGGAACACCGAAAGCGAAGGCAGCAAACUGGCGCAUUUCUGACGCUCAAGCACGAAAGCGUGGGUCGCGAAU